rnacentral:lncRNA from 1 species
AAAUCAAAUCAUAUAAAACAUAUGUCCAUGGCUUCAAAUUCACCUCUAACUAAAAAGAAAUUAGUUCCACAUGUUUAACAUAAUUGAAAAGCAAGUUAAAUUAAACAUGAAAACAGAAACAAAGAAAGAAAGAACUCUAGAAACUCCAAUGGUUGAAGAUUGCAUGCGACAAAGCCUUCCUCCUUUCCAAAGGUCACGGCAAAGCUCCUCUCUUUGGUGGAAUGGAAGUGUUGCGGCAAAAGGAUGGGGGAAGGUUAGAAAAUAUGGAAGAAUGGUGGUAGAUGGCUUGCGGCAAGGAAGAAAAAUGGCUAGAAUUGUGUUUUUGAGGUUUUUGGAUGUGUAGAAUGGUGUGGCUGGAAGUAUGGACGAAAAUUAGGUGAUUCAACCCUAAAAUAUGUAUUUAUAGGCACCACAAAACCCUAGAGAAAUCAGCACAAGUAAUGGGCUAGGGUUUAGGGUGCGGCAAGGGUAGAGAUCCACAAUGAAUUAGGGUUUCUAGAAAGCCUUGCAAGGCAAGGAAAAUAGGGUUUCUAGAAAGCUUAUUUCAUCUAGAAGCCCAAAGCCAAGAAUAGAAACUCUCAAAAAUGGAAACCUUCAAGAAUAGAAACUUCCAACAUUAGAAACUUUGGUUGCCAAUUCCGACUUCUUUGUUCUUCACUUUCAUUUCUUCAUUUCUUAAACUCAUUUGACCUUCAAACUUGUCCAUUCCCUAUGCUCCAUAAGCAUACAUUCCAUUUAAGCUCAUUUUUGCUCUAAAAUGCACCAAAAUGCACUUUCUUUGCUUUCAAUUGCCAUAUGAACCUACAAACACACGAAACUAGCUUAAAUCACUAUAAUAAACAAUAACUAACAACGUAAAUGCAAGAAAACAAGAUAACAAAGUCGCAUAAAUAUGCUCCUAUCAAAUACCACUCCAUUUUACCCUCCAUACUUUGCAUCAUUGCUCCAUUUUCAUCCUUGGACCAUUGCACAACACAAAUUCACCCUCCUUGCUGUGCAUUUCCCCCACUGCCUAAUCUGAUUCUCUAGGGUUUUUGGGGCCUAUAUAUACAUGUUUACAACCCUUGGCAAAGGGUUGAACCUCCCAUAUUCAUCAUUCAUCACAGAAAAUUCGUCCAUGCACACCCUAGGCAGCCAAACACCCCAAAAACACCAUUCUAGUGCCCAGAAAACAUAACAGCCACUCCACCUUCUUCCACCCUCUUUGCCGAGUUCUCUACCAUCCUCCAACCAUCAAACAUUCCUCCACACUCGCCCUAAACCUCUCCAUACCAUUCCCCAUCCAUUCUACACCAUAAAACUACCCAAAACAUCUUCACAACCCAAUCUGCCGCAAGCAAGGAAGGGGACAGAUUCACUACGAUUGUUUGGCUCUUCAUUCUGAGUUGUUGAACGAUUUUAGGUGUUUUCUAUCUUAUAUUUCAAUGUCUAAUUCAUAUAAUCUUUGUUUUGCUUUAAGCAUGAUUGGCUAAAUUCAUUUUGGCUAAGGGUGGAUUCAAAACCAUGAUUAUAUAUGUGAAAUAAAUUGAUUACUCUCGGUUAUCGUUGCAUGAGUCGUGAAUACAAUUUGCUUAACCGUUUGAUUUAGAACUUAUUCUUGUAUGUUGGUUGAGAGUGCACACUUAAUUUGCAUACUUGAAUUUGAUGCUAGGAUAUAAGUUUGUUUCACCUAAUCGUUAUGAAUUUAUAUUCGUAAGUAGUAAAGGUUGCUAGUCACGAUCGUGUUAAGUAGAUUCUUGGCAAGAGUAUCAUGCUUUUCAUAGUUACGAAUGCCUUGUCAAUGCUUAUGAGUUCCAAAGAACGUAAUGAUUCUAACCGUAUCUUUAUCAUGCUGUUCAUAUAAAGAACUUGUUAGGAAUAAUUUGUUUGCGAUGCAUAUUCAUCCAAUUCAAUGAUUCUAGGGAAAUCUGAAGGUUAAUUUAAGCGGAUCUAAUUAACUUGGAGUGUCGAGGUUCAUAACUUAUUCAAUUGAUAACUGGAAAUCGAUUUAGGUUGCAUAUAUUUCAUGUGUGGAGAAGAACCCCUUAGCCAUUCCAUCAUCCAUUGAUUCUUCAUAACUUUGUAUCCAAUCUGUUUCUCUUACAAUCUGCCAUUUAAGUUUAUUUUCGUCCAAAUCAAAUCCCCAAUUAUUUUGAAUUCCUAGAUUAAUUGGAAAGUGUGUUGGUUUAUGUUUUUAAGUGUUUUGGUACAAGUUAAAACCCAAAUUCGUCCAAUUUGAUGCUUUGUGUUCAAAACUGCCCAGAAAGUGUUUUUAAGGCAGUUUUGAAUCUUUUGAUUGCUGUUUUGAGUUUUUGGUUUGUUUUAGUAUUUUAAACGUGAGUUUUGCAUUCUUUGAGUCUAAUCUAGUGCUUUAAACUUUGUUUUUACAUUUCUAAGUCAGUUUUCAAGUGUUUAGCAAUCCCUCCUAAUCCC